ensembl:lncRNA
GUUUCCGCCCGGACCGGAAAAACAGAACACCGGAACUUCCGGUAGCGCCGUAAGAAGGAAAAUCAGGGAAUUCGAUGCACCUGUGCCUAGUUAGGGACAGCGGUUGGUGAUUGGAGGAUACGCUGGACAAGGCAGUACUUAAGGCCAAGUUAUUUCACAGUCUGGGAGCUCUUUCUGGUGUGUGUGAAGCACUGUGUUGUGCCUGUCUUGGUGCGCUGCUGGUGGCUGUCUAACUCUCUCUCUCCCUCAGGCUGGAAUUGUAUGAUUGUGAAGACAUCGCGAACCUUAAAGGUUGAGAAGUGAACGGAUUAUACGGCGAACUGAGACGACGUGAAAAAGGGGAUUGGAAGCGGCAUUGAUGUGAGUACUAAGAGCCAGUCGAAAGUGCCCUGUAUAUUGACCUGGCGUUGUGUAGAUCUCUCCAGGAGGAGGAGGGCGGCCCUACCCCUAAUAUAGCGUGGUGGGAGAGCCGAAGGAAUACUUAUUGAAGUAGUCACAACGACGACAUCACUAGCUAGGCCGCAUAUUCCAUCGCCAGAUCCGAACCAAGCGAAGUGAAGGAAGACGGGUGUCCUUUUUGUACACUGAGUGUGGUGGGUGAGUCUUCGUGCUGUGAAAACCUAUAAUUUUGACGUGGUGUUGUAUAUUGCUGUGGGCUGCUGUGUAUUGCCGUGUGUCCUGUCAGAUAAACCCCCGCCUUCACGCACUUCGUCGCGGGAGGACAAGGAGACUGCUGGUCCUAGCCUAGUUCAGUACAGUAUAUGUUGUGAGCGUGCUUCAGAUCUCCGGAGAUAGCACGGUACGCUGUGUCCAGCCCAGAGGUGAGAGCCAUUCAAAGCAAACUAACUGUGCUAUUGUGCCCAAGUUGAUACCUGUGGAGAGAAAAGGAGAGAGAGUGGGUAACACGAGGAGAGACCGAGGAAACCUGUACUUACGCCGCUGCCUGUGGAGAAAGAGAAAGCGACCGUUGCCUGAAGAGAAAGAGAGUGAGCACCCCGAGAACGAACUGUGUGAACCAGUACUUACCGGGAGCUGUAUUCAGCGAAGAGGAAGGAGGGCGCUACGGAUACCUAAGACUCAGGCCGGGGCCCGAGUCCCACGCCCCGGAUCCCCGUGGCCCCCUUGCUCCCUGACCUCUUCCCGGCCAUAGCCCAUCUGGAGGGCCGACUCAGAGUUUAGUUUUAAUUGCCCUUUCCCUAUUCCCCAAG